rnacentral:misc_RNA from 1 species
CAGACACUCUUUAUGCCAAUUAAAUCCAAGGAAUAUUUUCAGUUUUUAGUACAGCCAAUCCACUCCAAGCUAAAUCAAAAUCAAGUUAAUCAUGUCUUUCCGAUUAUUCAAACAGAAUUUUCAAUUAGUUUUCCGUGAUGUAUUCGUCCUGUAACAAGAACAAGCCCCUCGAUUCACAUCCAAUAAACAAUACACCUCCUGUUCAAUGACAGUUUAAUGGGAAAUAUACAUACUAUGCCUAUUCUGUUGCAUUUCUGGUGACAUCACCUAUGGCAUGCAGAGGUGCAAUUGUUGCAAGGACAAUGAAACCGCCUAGAACAACGAUCAAGAGUCCCAAUGAGUUCACCAGCAAUGCUUCAGUAGAAUAGCGUGAUAUUACUUUGUUGGUUUGGAGGAAUGUGGCUUUCUCUAAGAUACCAGUAGUAGCAGUAGCAACAGCCAGGGCAUAAAUAUAUACACCAAAGAAUACAUGCCAAGGCAGCAAGGUGGCUCUGCUAUUUCUUGAGCCACCUGGGUACCAGAAAGUAACAAAUCCUGCAGCCCACUGAACAAGAAAUGAUUGUGAGAAAUUAAUCAGCUUCAAGGGGAAAAAAGCAUUGGAUAGUCAAAAAAGAUAAUGAAAUAUUAAAAGACCUGGAUGCCAAAGAGGAACAGGCAAGCUAGACCCAACCAAGAAUGCAAGCUGUAAAAAUUGUCAAUGCCCUUAUCAUUGUGGAACUUCAAUGCAGCCCAUACACCAAUCAGGCUUAAACAAAAAGCAAGGAACUGUACUGUAAGAUGAACUAAUUUUUUGAAGCUUUUUGUUCCUGGAACCGUCUUGUAGGCUAGCAUGGCUGCCACAACAGACAUUUAAAAUGAUAUUCAUAAAUAACAGCAUGGCAUCACUGAGGACCUGAUUCAAAUCCAUAAUUUUAAUAAAGAAUGUCUAUAGGUCAUAACAUAUUGAUGUAAAAUAAUUUACUUCACAAAUAUCAUACUUAACAACUGUCCUUUUAACAGUGAGCCAAAAUAUUUUACAGCUAAUUCAGUUCCCAUGAUGCAUAGGCUUCAAUUUGGCACAUAUUGGCACAAUAAUUCUACAGAAGGUAAUAAAAUUAUACCCUAGAUGUUGUUUGGUUUCCUUUAAACCAAAUGGACAGCAAAACAAGAUUAUAUAUCAUAUACACAUAGACAGGAAGAGAUAUUACAUCUCAAUUUUCUUUGCACUCCUGGAAGGCCGCAGUAAACUCAUGUCUACCAGAACAUUAUUAACACAUCACCACUCUAGCAAAUAGAACAUUAAAAAUUCCAUCUAAUAAGUAAAAAAUUGCUGCUUUGGGUAUUAGCAUUGAGCUAGACUACAGAAUAGAGAAGCAUCAGAGAAUCAAAGAAAAAACCCAUGCAAGCAUGUAAAGAUCAGACAAGAUACAAUAAAAUUCAAUUUACUUUCCUAUUAUCAUAAUGAACACUGAUACAGAGCUGAAAAAUGGCCCUUCAAUCAAAUGUGUAUAGAUAUUAGGCUAAUCACCAAUAUUAUAUCCGCAUAUGAUAAUGUUUGCCACACGUUGCAUGUUCAGACUUCAGAAUUACAUACAGUUACUAAAGUAAUAUAUUAGUUGCAUUGUAAGAGAAAAGCAUAUAAAUUAGUAUAUUGAUGCCUCUCUAAAAUUAUAACAAUUAGCUUACUUGCCAGAAGAAAUUCGUAGGAAAAAGAAGAUUUUCACUGUCAUUUUUGAGAUAAAAGAAGUAAUUAUCCGAUUAAAAGUCAAAAGAAGAUAUUACAAAUUUGUUUUCUUCUAUAUUCUUCUUGAUAGCAUUUCAAGAAAACUUACAGCGGCAUUCAACAUUCUGUAAGAUUUACAAAUCCUACCCAUUUAAAUUAAUUAUCUGCACUCUACCCAGAAAUGUAUGUUUAUAUCUAAAAGCAGAAAACGGGCACUUACCUUCACCAUUGAUGAGUAUGAGACCAAUAACCAUUAAAACAGGAUGGACCUACAAGAAACCACAAACAACGAACUACACUAAAGUUAACCGAACAAUGGAACCCAGAAAAGAAAAAUGAAUGUGAAGAUAAGAAACUGCUGGUGAAGAAAAGUCAAUAACGAAAUCCAGCUCUCAAAUUAAAAUUGUGAAAUGAGAGAAGCACUGCCAUUGGAGGUUUCACACUACAUUAAAGAUGAGAUCUUUGUUAUCGGAGGCGAGAGCCAAUCCUCCUCUGUAAUGCACCGUCCACGUCAGCACGAGAGCCGUGACUAGCACCCCCAAUAACCUGACUACGGUGAAGAUUGGGAAUUUGAUCACGGGAACUCCCAUUCCUUUAGCUGCUAAUCGUAAUUGCUGGUAGAAAAGGAAAGAGGGGAAAGAGGAGAAGCCAGAGAAAGAGAGAAGAAAAUAUAGAUUUUAAUAAAGGUUUUAGAGUUGAACUUGGGUUUUGGAUCCGUGCUUUGCUUUGUUCACUGACAGAUCAGUGAAGGAAGUUUCGAACCAUUUUCCGAUUUUCCAACUCAGUGCCACGUGACGUGGGUUCUUUGGUCCUGACUCGAACCAUUCAGACGAG